UACGUAGGUGGCGAGCGUUGUCCGGAAUUACUGGGGGUAAAGCGCGUGUAGGCGGGAGGCCAAGUCUGUGGUGAAAUCGCCCGGCUUAACUGGGCGGGGUCCAUGGAAACUGGUCACCUGGAGGUCGGUAGAGGCAAGUGGAAUUCCCGGUGUAGUGGUGAAAUGCGUAGAGAUCGGGAGGAACACCAGUGGCGAAGGCGGCUUGCUGGGCCGGACCUGACGCUGAGACGCGAAGGCGUGGGGAGCGAACGGG
rnacentral:rRNA from 1 species